rnacentral:rRNA from 1 species
AUUGAACGCUGGCGGCAUGCCUUACACAUGCAAGUCGAACGGCAGCACGGGAGCAAUCCUGGUGGCGAGUGGCGAACGGGUGAGUAAUAUAUCGGAACGUGCCCAGUAGUGGGGGAUAGCCCGGCGAAAGCCGGAUUAAUACCGCAUGAGACCUGAGGGUGAAAGCGGGGGAUCGCAAGACCUCGCGCUAUUGGAGCGGCCGAUAUCAGAUUAGCUAGUUGGUGGGGUAAAGGCCUACCAAGGCAACGAUCUGUAGUUGGUCUGAGAGGACGACCAGCCACACUGGGACUGAGACACGGCCCAGACUCCUACGGGAGGCAGCAGUGGGGAAUUUUGGACAAUGGGCGCAAGCCUGAUCCAGCAAUGCCGCGUGCAGGAAGAAGG